rnacentral:lncRNA from 1 species
UCGUGCUCUUUUCAUCAAGGAAUACAAUAACAAGCUCUUCAAUUGGUUGGUGACUUUUGCUCUGGUCAUGGUCGUGCUUGGGCGCUUUGUGAUCAAGUUCUUUCUACUUGAAAUUGCUGCAUGGGUAAUGUUUAUCUUCCUGGAGACAUAUACAAGAAUGUUCUGGUCAGCAGAAUCGCUGUACUAUAAUCCAGCUUGGCACAUAAUCGUUUCAUCCUGGGAAACCAUCGUGUACAGUCCACUUCUCGAUCUGGACAGGUAGGUCUUUCAUCCCCAUGUAAUGUACUCCCUCCGUCCCAAAAUAUAAGAACGUUUUUAACACUAGCAUAGUGUCAAAAACGUUCUUAUUCUGGGACAGAGGGAGUAAUAAAUAUACAAUAGCAACCAUAUAUUAUCUCGCAUGCUGCCUUCUUUUCUAAUAAUAUGCCACCCUUUGUGUCUGCAGAUGGGCCAUCCCCAUAGCCUUGUUGCUAUUGUUUUGGCUUUUUUACUGGCGUUGCUUUGCUAGAAGGAAACGUGGCAGCCGCUCGGUGCUGCCACUGUACAAGAACUCUCACAAGAACUCCAGUCGCCCUAGAUCAGACUGAUCACAUACAUGGUUUUGUUCUGAAGUGGAGGUACAAAAUAUCACCCCCAAAAGAGAUAGAACAAGAGGAUAGUUUUGCGUCUUUCAUCCAUGCGGUUGGAUGGGCUUUCUUUUGAUGACGGUCGCCGCAACCCCUGUGCUGCGUCUCAGAUUCGUUUUGGCUGAUGAAGAGAUGGGAGUUCUGGCGUCUGGUGCUUGCGCUUAGCGUUUGUUGUAACAUUGAAUAUGUUUAUGUGCUUUAUGUAGCUAGGAUUUUCUUACGAGGUACGGCCUCAUUCAUUGUUUAUUGUUCGCUUUGCGAACAAACCUCAUAUAUGAAUUGGUUUUGUUAAGCCAUAGUGGGCAUAAUUUCUGAACAGACUGAUGGACCUUACAUUUUUGCCGUGAUGGGCAAUGGAAUCCCUUGGUUUGGGCAUUUCUCCAAAGGGGACUUGUGUAGUGUCAUUUACAG